UACAUGUGGGGCAAGCGUUGUUCGGAAUUACUGGGCAUAAAGGGUGCGUAGGCGGCUUGUUAAGUCAGGGGUGAAAGUUUUCGGCCCAACCGGAAAAUUGCCUUUGAUACUGGCGAGCUGGAGUGCGUGAGGGGUGACCGGAACGAGUGGUGUAGCGGUGAAAUGCGUAGAUAUCGGGAGGAACACCAGUGGCGAAGGCGGCGACCUGGGCCAAUAUUGACGCUGAGGUGCGAAAGCGUGGGGAGCAAACAGG
rnacentral:rRNA from 1 species